rnacentral:rRNA from 1 species
UACGUAGGUGGCGAGCGUUGUCCGGAAUUACUGGGCGUAAAGGAUGCGUAGGCGGAUGAUUAAGUGGGAUGUGAAAUACCCGGGCUCAACCUGGGGGGUGCAUUUCAAACUGGUCGUUUAGAGUGCAGGAGAGGAAAGUGGAAUUUCUAGUGUAGCGGUGAAAUGCGUAGAUAUUAGGAAGAACACCAGUGGCGAAGGCGACUUUCUGGACUGUAACUGACGCUGAGGCAUGAAAGCGUGGGGAGCAAACAGG